UGAAAAAUUUUCUUUAAUUUAAAAGUUUAUAUUAAUUGAAGCUAGCAAGAAUACAUAUAGAAAUAAUAAAAGAAAUAAGUGCCGUAAGAAUUAAAGAAAAUCUAUGAUAAAAUUUUUUGUUGAUGCGAGUAUUAUGCCGAGCAUUAUAAGCGGAAAUUUAAAUGCGCCAACGAUUAUGAUUGCUGAAAAGUUGGCGGAUUCAAUUAGAGGACUUCUCUUUCUCUCACCUAUGAUGAAUGCGAAAUAUUACGUUGCACCCAACUGGAAAACGGCACAAAGAUAAGCAAUAAUAAUAAUAAAA